CAAUAACCAUAAUUAUGGUUAUUUAGCUUCUUAAUUCCGCUAGUUGUACCAGCAAGAUCUGCCAUAGUGACUUGGUGAUUGCCCAGCAGUCAACCAAGUAAGUCUGGUCCCAGACCAACCAACUUCACAGUCCCAGACUGUGCACCAGCAGAAUCUCUGCUUAUAUCGGUAUUUAACUGCCUGCACUGGCAGAAUAUCACCGACUUAACUAGCAGAAUAUUUCCUACAAUCUGGCUCUGAUACCAAAAUGUAGAGAACCGGCGUACCAGGCUGAUAAUGAAACUCUCUUUAUUACACACAAAAUAACUCUCAUUCACAUACACCCAUAAUACUACAAACUUCACAACAAUUCCUCACCUCACACCCUUUCUCCACUACUACCUCACUCACACUCUUCACUCUCACUCUCACUCUCACUCUUUCACACCACCUCACACUCACACUUACACUCUUACUCUCACUCUUUCACACCACCUCACACUCACACUUACACUCUUACACACUUGGUGUGGAGGCCUCACACCUAUUUAUAGGCCUCAACCUACAUACAUUAGUAUUCUAGAGUAUUCUAGAGCACUCAUUUCUAGAACCUUCUAAAGUGCUCUAUUAGCAAGUAGAGAGCAUUUGUAUCUAGAGUGUUCUAUAAAAAUAUCGAGUACUUUGAUCCUAGAGUUUUCUAGAAUGCUCCAUUAGCUAGUAGAGAAUUGGAAAGGGAUAGAGCAUUCUAGAAUGUUCUAUUAAAGAGAGAGGGAGAGUUGCCUCUUUCAGUUGAUACUUGUUGUU
rnacentral:lncRNA from 1 species